rnacentral:rRNA from 1 species
UACAGAGGUCUCAAGCGUUGUUCGGAUUCAUUGGGCGUAAAGGGUGCGUAGGCGGCGCGGUAAGUCGGGUGUGAAAUCUCGGAGCUUAACUCCGAAACUGCAUUCGAUACUGCCGUGCUUGAGGACUGGAGAGGAGACUGGAAUUUACGGUGUAGCGGUGAAAUGCGUAGAUAUCGUAAGGAAGACCAGUGGCGAAGGCGGGUCUCUGGACAGUUCCUGACGCUGAGACGCGAAAGCCAGGGGAGCGAACGGG